rnacentral:rRNA from 1 species
GUGCCCCCAAGCGACCAGCUGAAGCAGCUGGUCGAACUCCACAAGGUAGCUGAGGAGGCCAUGAAGGGCCUUAUAGUCCGGCUGUGGCCUAGACAGGCCAUGCCUGGGAGCUACUUCGGCCUCGUGCGGCGGCUGGUGGAUGCGUGCCCCUGGGUGGAGGUCAUCAAGCGCUCCGCCUGUAUUGAAGGUGCUCGUCGGGCCCUUGCCCGCACAAAGGU